UCAUACGAGUACUGAAAAAAAGGAAACAUCCAAGGAAUAAUAAGCCAAUCAUAUAAAAGAGAGAGAAAAGUGGUGUUUGUUUUUUUAGGGGAUACCGGUAGAUAGUCUCCAACACCACCCCCGGGGGCACAGGUUUGUCCUAACAGAUGAAGAUUAUAUAAUAUAUAUACUUACCAUCACCAUGUUUCCUUUGUGAGACAACUGUUUUUGCCAUGCCUUGGGUUGUUAUUAAGGUACGACUACAAUCCCAUGCAAAAUCUCUUGUUUUACUAGUGGGUUAACACUAAUAAUCUGCAAUGAUAUAUGAAAAACUUCAAUCUUAUCCUGCUGAUAAAUUAAACAAAUAUAGUCAGCCAUCCAUUCAAUAUAAGAGAAGAAGAGGCUGACAAUGAAUUGAAAUAUACCUGCCUAGAGUUGAGAGUUAGUGGAUGAAAGUUUGACAAUGAAUCAAUAAGGUCAGAAUUCAAUAAGAAAAUGAGGAAAUCAUUUGAAUUUAGUUAUAGACGACUGACUAAACAAACAAGAUCAGCAAACGCAAGAGAAGCGACCCAUCAAUGGGCAAAUAGUGAGUGAGUUAGUGCUCAUAGAUAGACAGGGAAUGAGACGAAAUUGAGAGAUUUGAUAGUCAAAUGACUGAUCAACGUUCUUUCCUGGGAUUGAAAUCGGGUAUAAAUUAAUAAUAAGAAGAAGGGGGGAGGAGAGAGAAGUGAGUCUUCCGUGGAGGGAGAGGAAGACCACACAGCGAAUGAGAGGUAAUAAUAAAUGGGCAUUGGAGAAAAAAGGUUGAUGCUUUUGAGAGAAGGGGAACUGGCCAUUGCUGGAAUGACACGACUAUAAAGUGAGAAUCCUGCUUUAGUUUAAU